UACAGAGGGGGCAAGCGUUAUUCGGAAUUAUUGGGCGUAAAGGGCGCGUAGGCGGCCUGGCAAGUGGAAGGUGAAAUCCCUCGGCUUAACCGAGGAACUGCCUCCCAAACUGCUUGGCUCGAGACCGGGAGAGGUGAGUGGAAUUCCCAGUGUAGCGGUGAAAUGCGUAGAUAUCAGGAGGAACACCGGUGGUGUAGACGGCUUUCUGGACCGUAACUGACGCUGAGACACGAAAGCGUGGGUAGCAAACAGG
rnacentral:rRNA from 1 species